rnacentral:rRNA from 1 species
CUACGGGGUGCUGCAGUAGUGAAUCUUAGACAAUGGGGGAAACCCUGAUCUAGCCAUGCCGCGUGAGUGAUGAAGGCCUUAGGGUUGUAAAGCUCUUUCGCUGGGGAAGAUAAUGACGGUACCCAGUAAAGAAACCCCGGCUAACUCCGUGCCAGCAGCCGCGGUAAUACGGAGGGGGUUAGCGUUGUUCGGAAUUACUGGGCGUAAAGCGCGCGUAGGCGGGCUAUUAAGUCAGGGGUGAAAUCCCGGGGCUCAACCCCGGAACUGCCUUUGAUACUGGUAGUCUUGAGUUCGAGAGAGGGGAGUGGAAUUCCGGGUGUAGAGGUGAAAUUCGUAGAUAUUCGGAGGAACAGCAGUGGCGAAGGCGACUCACUGGCUCGAUACUGACGCUGAGGUGCGAAAGUGUGGGGAGCAAACAGGAUUAGAUACCCGCGUAGUC